rnacentral:rRNA from 1 species
GACAGAGGUGCCAAGCGUUAGGCGGAAUCACUGGGCUUAAAGCGUGUGUAGGCGGAUUUGUAAGUACCUUGUGAAAUCCCACGGCUCAACCGUGGAACUGCUCGGUAUACUGCUUAUCUUGAGCCACUUAGGGGCUACCGGAACAAAUGGUGGAGCGGUGAAAUGCGUAGAUAUCGGGAGGAACACCGGUGGCGAAGGCGGCGACCUGGGUAGAUACUGACGCUGAGGCGCGAAAGCGUGGGGAGCAAACAGG